CAAGAAAAUUGUCAUUUUGCGACACUUGCAUUGCGACGAUUUGACCAAAACCGUUGCAAUGUGCUAAAUGUUAGAAUUUUGCAACGGUUCAUGCGACGGUUAGAUCAACCGUUGCAAUGUUUGGAUUUAAUUUUGGAAUUUUGCGACAGUUAUGAGUGAACCGUUGCAAUGUUUUGCCUUUUGCCGCCCACUAAAAUUUUUGCUCCUUUCUCUCCUAAAUAAAAAAUCCACUCAUAGUAUAACCUUUUUUUGAUUAUCUUUCCCCCAAUUUGCCGUCAAAAAAAAAAUUUAUCUUUCCCCCAAAUUUCACAAACCCUCCUCCUGGAAUCGCAAAUCCUCCGCCGAAUCGCAAAUAUGGAACCACAAACCCCUCCUCCGAAUCCCUAAUCGAAGAACCUCAAACCCCUUCGCCGUUCCUCCGAUUACUCUCUCUCAACACAGGAGGAGUUAGAAUUAGAAACACAUCGCAAAGAAAAUUCUUCUCUGACUGAUGCUGCAUACACAACAGUUUUUGGAAAAGAACAUCCAGGACGUCUUAAAGGCGUGGGCGUUCUUGUAUCCUUGAAUUCGAUGGAGCAAAUAGUGGAAAUCCUGGAAGGUCUGGAGCAGGAGCUGUGCUGCGUGAUGGGAACCAGGUUCAGCGCUUCAGUCAAGGACUGGGCACUCAUACAAAUAAUUCUGCUGAAUAUCAAGGUUUAAUUUUGGGAUUGAAAGAAGUAGCCAACCAAGGAUAUGAUCGUGUUUAUGUUCGAGGUGACUCUCAGCUUGUUUGCAACCAGGGCCAUAACACUAAAGCUGAUGCUCAAGCAAGUCGGGGUAUUUAUUACAUAUGGUUUUUUCACGAAUCCGAUUUUCUGAACCGCUGUUCGCCUUUCAGAAGGAAGAACACCAUGAGAUGCUCAAUCUGCGUUCACCAAUCUUACUCUGACUAAUCGUUCACUUUCUUGAUCAGGUUUGGCGGCGGAUGGAGAGGAUUGGUGGCUUUGGAGAAACUAUCACCACAUUUGAAACUUAUUUUGAUGUAAUGUUAUGUUUAACAAUAUUUAUGCUUUAGUUUUUGAACUACAUUAGUUUCUUUCGUUUGGAACUUCAUGUACUUGAAUUAAACUUUUGAUGUAUGGAUCUCGUCACUAUUGAAUGAAUUAUAUAAAUGAGAUUAAGUUAUUUAUAUUUA